rnacentral:lncRNA from 1 species
AGGUGACAAAUGGACAUAGUUAAUUCGAUUAAAAAUAUCGGAGGAAAUGCGUUUGUCAUUUUUAAAGACAUGAAAUGAAGGAAAUCUGAUGUAUUAAAAAAAGGAUACAAAACGUAUAGAUAGAGUUGCACGGUGCAAAGUCAGAAUCACAACAAAUGUAGCACAGAAACAUAGUUAAAUGAUACAGUCAACCACUGUCAAAUAGAGAAGCAAAAUCUACAAUCCCCAUUUUAAAAAAACUCAAAAGG